GACGAACGCUGGCGGCGUGCUUAACACAUGCAAGUCGAACGGAAAGGCCCUGCUUGCAGGGUACUCGAGUGGCGAACGGGUGAGUAAAACGUGGGUGAUCUGCCCUGCACUUCGGGAUAAGCCUGGGAAACUGGGUCUAAUACCGUAUAGGAGCCAUUUUUAGUGUGAUGGUGGGAAAGUUUUUUCGGUGUAGGGUGAGCUCGCGGCCUAUCAGCUUGUUGGUGGGGUAAUGGCCUACCAAGGCGGCGACGGGUAGCCGGCCUGAGAGGGUGGACGGCCACAUUGGGACUGAGAUACGGCCCAGACUCCUACGGGGGGCAGCAGUGGGGAAUAUUGCACAAUGGGCGCAAGCCUGAUGCAGCGACGCCGCGUGGGGGAUGACGGGCUUCGGGUUGUAAACUCCUUUCGCUAGGGACGAAGCUUUUUGUGACGGUACCUAGAUAAGAAGCACCGGCUAACUACGUG
rnacentral:rRNA from 1 species